rnacentral:rRNA from 1 species
GACGAACGCUGGCGGCGUGCUUAACACAUGCAAGUCGAACGGGAGUACUUUGAAAGCUUGCUGAUAAGUACUUUAGUGGCGGACGGGUGAGUAACGCGUGAGGAGCUGUCUUAUGCAGGGGGACAACAGUUGGAAACGGCUGCUAAUACCCCAUAAGCCGAGAGGUAAAAGGAGCAAUCCGGCAGAGGGGGUACUCGCGUCCUAUCAGCGAGUAGGUUGGGUAACGGCCGACCUAGGCGAAGACGGGUAGCCGGCCGGGGAGGGCGAACGGCCACACUGGAACUGAGAUACGGUCCAGACUCCUAGGGGGGGCAGCAGUGGGGAAUAUUGGGCAAUGGGGGAACCCUGACCCAGCGACGCCGCGUGGGUGAAGAAAUCCUUCGGGAUGUAAAGCCCUGUUGUAUGGGAAGAGCAGAAGACGGUACCAUACGAGGAAGCCCCGGCAAACUACGUGCCAGCCGCCGCCGUAA